rnacentral:tRNA from 1 species
CCGGGGUCUGGCGCAGGAGCGCCGUCGAAGAGGCCGGCGGGUGGCAGUCGGACACCGUCACCGAGGAUCUCGACCUCAGCUACCGGGCC